rnacentral:rRNA from 1 species
UGGGGAAUUUUCCGCAAUGGGCGAAAGCCUGACGGAGCAAUACCGCGUGAGGGAUGACAGCCUUUGGGUCGUAAACCUCUUUUAUCAAGGAGGAAGUUCUGACGUGUACUUGAUGAAUAAGCAUCGGCUAACUCCGUGCCAGCAGCCGCGGUAAGACGGAGGAUGCAAGUGUUAUCCGGAAUCACUGGGCGUAAAGCGUCUGUAGGUGGUUUAAAAAGUCUGCUGUUAAAAAUUGAAGCUUAACUUCAAAGAUGCCGUAGAAACUUUUAAACUUGAGUAUGGUAGGGGUAGAGGGAAUUUCCAGUGGAGCGGUGAAAUGCGUAGAUCUUGGAAAGACCACCAAUGGCGAAGGCACUCUACUGGGCCAUUACUGACACUGAGAGACGAAAGCUAGGGGAGC